rfam:Escherichia coli 101-1 gcontig_1112603668097, whole genome shotgun sequence.
GGGUGCUUGAGGCUGUCUGGCGUUAAGCAUUCGCGAGGUUCCAGAUGGACAAAAGCCCCAGGCGAUAUUUCUAUCAACCUGAGGCUUACGUUCGAACCCAAACAAUUCGAAUGUUAGUCUCUUCUUUGCAGGGAGGCAAGACAUGCUGACAAAAUAUG